rnacentral:rRNA from 1 species
AUGAACGCUAGCGACAGGCCUAACACAUGCAAGUCGAGGGGCAGCACAAGGAGCAAUCUGAGGUGGCGACCGGCGCACGGGUGAGUAACACGUAUGCAACCUGCCUGUAAGCGGGGAAUAACCCGUUGAAAGACGGACUAAUACCGCAUAAUACUAAAUUUACUGCAUGGUAAUUUAUUUAAACAUUUAUGGCUUACAGAUGGGCAUGCGCAUGAUUAGCUAGUUGGAGAGGUAACGGCUCCCCAAGGCAACGAUCAUUAGGGGUUCUGAGAGGAAGGUCCCCCACACUGGUACUGAGACACGGACCAGACUCCUACGGGAGGCAGCAGUGAGGAAUAUUGGUCAAUGGACGAGAGUCUGAACCAGCCAAGUCGCGUGCAGGAAGAAUGUCCCUAUGGAUUGUAAACUGCUUUUGCAGGGGAAUAAAGUGCAUCACGUGUGAUGUUUUGUAUGUACUCUGCGAAUAAGGAUCGGCUAACUCCGUGCCAGCCGCGGC